AUGGAGUAUGUGCAUAAAGAAUUGAGUUGGAGAGGGCAGCUACUUGGCUCAGUAAUCUGGUCUCAGACAUUUCCUACCUAUGUGACCCUGGACAAGUCACUUAACAUUCCCCCCCACACACACACACACACACUGCGCCCAUUGCCUUCACUUUCCUGCUCUUCUGACUUGGAGCCAAUAUACUAUUCUAAGACAGAAGAAAAGCAGAUGCAGUAUCCUGAAGUUUCUGAAAUUCUAAACCUGGAAAGGGUCGAGGGGAUCGUUAUAGGAGAAAGAGAGGGAAGAAGAGAGGGAGAAAAAAAAUUUGGUCUUAGAAGAGUACCUGACAUGGCAAAGGUGCUAAGUGCAGGCUUGCUGACCGAUUGACUGAUUAAGCAAAGAACUGGAUGAGAAAAUGCAUACCCACUAUGAAGGAUGAAACGGAAUAGGGAACACAAAUGUAAUCAAAUAUUAUCUCAAUAUAAGAGAUAUGAAAAAGUUAAAGAAACCUCACAAGGCUUGUAUGAAUUGAACUGAAUAAAGAAGACAAUUUGGGAAAUGGACA
rnacentral:lncRNA from 1 species